UCAUAGAGCUCCUCUGGGGUCCCCACCAGCAGUGUUUGUAGGAAGUCCAUGAAAAACUCAGCGUUGUCCUCCCCUGUGGCCAGCCCUGCAUCACAGAUGCAGAACAGGGUGAAGGCCACCAGUAGGAGAGCACUGCUCCCCUUCAUGCCGGCAGCCUCAGGAGCUGCCUGCAGCCAGAAUCCCGGGAUUUUAUGCCUCAGCGGGCAGCACCUCUCCUAGAGGGUGGGCCGGACCUGCCCAUUAGGACCUGGCAGCCAGCUCAGCAGUAGAAUCCAGGUUCUGGAAGAACAUGGCCUCUUCCAACCGAUGAAUUCCAGCCUUCUAAAGAACCUAGUGACUUUUCGCGCCUUAAGUCUGUGAAAUCCUCCUGUUUUCACCAGUUCCUGGGGGCAGCCCUCAUGUCUGUCCACCGUGGCACUCCCAGCGUUUUGCACAUGCACAUCACAGACAGAAUCCACGUUGUGAAAGUGAUCAGCUCUUUCCACACAGGAAAGAGCACUUCUAAUGACAGACAUCAGAGGAAGCUACAUGGAGGUGGUGGCAUUUAAACAGGGUCUGAAAAAUGAGCGGAGUUUCAAGUAAAGGGGUGCGAGCUGGGGAGAGGCUGAGGGAAGAGCAUGAAAGAAGGUGUGCAGAGGAGCAGGUGACAAUGAGUGGAACAGAGCAGCUCCUUCUGGAUCUCCUCUUCUAUUGCUUCUGCUGGAUGAGAUGACACCUGCUCAGCCAUGCUUUGAGGAGGGACAAUAAGCCAAUGAGAGAGGGGCCUGAGAACGCACACCCUUCUCCAUUCACCACCAACUUGCCUGCCACAUGCUGUACAUACAAGAUUCUCUUAGGGUGGUUUUUCUUACGAUAUCUUCCUACUGCAGGUAUGCUUAAGCUGACACCUCCCACCCCCACCUGGAGAGACGAUAUUCUGUAUUGACAAGUUUUUCUUCUUUUUUGAGAUG